rnacentral:lncRNA from 1 species
UUCUCUUCUCCACUUCGGGACUCUCUUCUCCGGACUCCGGGAAUCUCUUCUCCACUUCUCCCUCCGUUGCUACUUGUUGGAUUCUCUGGUAUUUAUUUGUUGAUCUUGUUUGUUGUUUCUACUGUUCUCCAUGUCUUAACUCUGGAACGUUGGACACAACCAGGUUUGCCAGAUUUUCUCUACCUCCAAAGUCCAAAUUAAUUUUUUUUAUGUUCAUUUGGAAUUAAAAAUUAAAAUAGUUUGAUUACAAAUCUAUGAAACCCAAUAACUCUGCUUACAUUGUUUUUUUCCUUUAAUAUUACGACACAUUAUCAUAUCUAUUCAUCCCUUUUUUACCCAGACUAUAUAAUACCUACGAAAGCAAAUCGAUGUAUAGCAUGAUAUUGGUGAGAUGAAAAUCUUAACGAUUUAUUCUUUUUUUUUUGGUUCUUAGACAUUUUAUUCGAUUUAAUUUCAUCGCAAUUUCUUUGCAGAUAAUCAUUUUGGUUCUACUGGU